UUGAUUUUGGAACGUGUGUGUAAUGGAUUCCACUGUCUGAAUUAUAGUGAUGGAGCCCAUCGCACAUACUGUAGCACUAUCCCUGUUGUAUGGGUAGGGAUUUAAUUUCAUUGCCUCAUAUCACAAACUAUCUAAUGUAUCAUUGCAAAUUUCCCACACUUUUUUGGUUCUAGGUGACAUCUCCUUAACCCGUUGUCCAAGACAAACAGAAUGGAAGAAAGCUUUCAAACGUAAUGAAAAACAUAAUAUCAGGAAACAGAAAAAUGAAUGGCCAAAUAACACUGCUAUAAAACCCAAUCUCCCAAGAACGGCUUAUUCUAUGGCAUCAUCCUAUGCAAAGUCAAACAGCAGCCGUUAAGCAGGAACCUGCUGGCAAAUUGACAGAAAACAACCACGAAGCAAUUAAAUGAGAAUACUGGAGGAUUUUUCAUUACAGACCCCAAAGAGCAAAAGAAAAAAAGAGUUUGUUUCCAAUAAUCCUCUUGGUGGAAAGCUUUGUACUGCAAGAACUGCACACUUCUCAUAGGUCUUAAGUUCUGAAAAGCUAAAGUACAGAAAUGUUCUGUCAAUAUGCUUCAAAGUAAUGCAAGACUGGAAGACAUGUCAAAGGUUAUCGGCUCCAGUGAGCAGCAAACGAGGUCACUACAAGUAACAUCUAUUCUGCACUUAUCCUACUAAUGAAAUGCAGGUAGGAGAGAUCAGCAACACCUCACAUGGAGUAACAUUAGAACCACUGGCCAGACUGCAAGAUCUGCAAACCAACACAAAAAUGGGAAGUUCAGGACGGACAAUUGCAGCCAGCAGUAAAGAUAAAAGAUAAAAUAAAAAUCAAGGAGCAGGAUCUCA
rnacentral:lncRNA from 1 species